CGGAAACUCUGGACAGGACCCUGACAGCCUGAGCACCGAGUGGGGCCCAGGAAACUGGAAUCCAGACUUAACGCCAAUCACUUGUUCCAGCAAACUGAGCCAUCUCUAUCAGGGUAACCCACAAAUGCAGUUUUAGGAUUGCACUGGAUAACAAACUGUCUGUAGAGGGUAUGAAAUCAGACCACAAUUUCACAAUCUCAUCCAGCCCUUUAUGUGUAUUUGAAGAGUCCUCAUCUUAAGAUGUGACAAAGUAGCACGUGCAGAAGAAUGAAAGUAUGUUCCUUUCUUUUCUCAAAGGAUGCCUUCAAAAGGUGACUUCCCAGCAUCUAUCUGCCACGGUCAUAGCCACAAAAUCCAGUUCUGACUAAUGGAGUGAGUGAGGAAGUUUCUCAGUUUGGAUUCUACAAAAGGCUUUGCAGCUGUCACAUUAUCUUUGGCCAACCUUUUCCCUUCUUGGCCUGACACACUAGCAAAUGUGCAGAAAAGCAUACGCCAAUAACAGUUGUGGGGAAGAGGACCAGGAGACACAGACAAUGGAGUAGGAUGCUGAAAAGAUCAUGUCUGCAAAGGUUUAAUAAACCUUCGUGCCAUCCCUGCUUGGUCUAUCCUCGGGCCUCCCAGUAUCCACAAGAAACAGAAUUAUUUCUUUAAGCAUCAGCAUCUGGAUUUCCCUGGGUCAGAAGACUAGAGGAAGCUAUGCUCUUCCUUCCCUGAUGAUUCAGUAGUCUCUGCUCUGACCGAUGAGGAGAUGAGUCAGCAUAAAAGGUUGGAUGGCACAUUGGGAAUUCAGUUAGAAAUUUCACUGCUCUAUCAAUGACUGGAGAAGGGCCUGUACAUCAGCUUUCUCAUGUGCCUGGAAGCCCUCUGGAUCUGGAGUUUUAUUUGGAGGAUGUUUGAAAUUACUCUUCAGCUUCUCUUAAAGAUGGCAGGUUAUAAAGUUUUACACAUCUGCUUUAGUCAGUUUGAUCCCUUACAUUUCCCCCGAAAUUUAACCAUUUCACAACACAAUUCAAAUCAAUCGAGGUAAACUUGUUUGUGAUAUUGUCCUGGCAGCUCGAUAGCUACAGGCUAGCGCUCUCUCUCUCUCUCUCUCUCUCUCUCUCUCUCUCUCUCUCUCUCUCUCUCUCUCUCUCUCUCCCUUAGUGUUUCUGUUCUUGCUACCUGUGCUCCCCCUCUUCUUCUCUAGCUCCAUCCCAAUGAGUGUUGAUGCCAACAAAGGCCCCUUUCAAAAGAAAUAGGCAUCCCUAGCUAUACUAUUUCAGGCAAUUAUUGUCUUGUUUUAAUUUCUUUAUUGUUUCAGAGUCUUACUCUGCAGCCCUGGGUAACUGGGCGUUCACUAUAAACUGGGCUAGCCUAGAACUUGCCUCUGCUUCCCAAGUCCUGAGAUUAAACACAUGCACCACCACUCCUGGCCUGUUUUUUUAAAUUUUUAAAAUGCCUCCAGCUCUAUGUUCGUUGCUUCUCCAUCCAAAAUUACUUGGGCGUAAACUGUUAUCCAAUUCUGAGUGUUCAGCUGAAAUGUCUAGUUUGUAGUUUUUGGAAACCUGCUUCAUGGGGGCUUAAUGCUAUAAAUUUCUAAGUGUGGCUUUAGUUGCAUCCCAUAUAGAAAUGUACUUAUUUAUUUUCUAAUUUUGGAAUUCUUUUUCUCUGAUAUAUGAGUUAUCCAUAACUACAUUUUUUCUAAACUUCCAGACAUAUGGGAACUUUGCAUUAUAUUUUGGCAUUGCUUUCUAGCUUAAUUGUACCAUAGUAAAUAUAAUUUAUAUGUAUAAAUUAUAUAUAUAAAUUAUAUAUAAAAAUUAUAUAUAUAUAUGCACACACAUACAUCAAGACGUCUGUCUUAAACUCUCCAAGGCUUGCUGGGGAAAACUGAAUUAAUUUCCCAACAUGCCCCACUCUUUGUAUUUCCUUCUGCAGUAGAAUUGGCUAUAAUCAUCCUUCCUGUCCCGCUGAUGUCAUUUUGAAAUCACAAUGUCUGGUUUAUCCAAUAAAUUGCAAGUAGAGAGAGUUCAGAACUCCCGCUGUCCACCCUUGUCCCAGACAGAGACAGCUUUGUCAUUCUAAAUCAAAUCAUGGAAUGAUGAACAUGUGUCGAUGGAUCUCAGUGGCCCCUGGGCUCAUGUCAUUAGAGCAUAGUUCAGACUCUGCAGUGGGUGCUGGGGACUGAACUCAGGUCCUCUGAAAGAGCACCAAACUCUCUUAACCACUGAUUCAUCUCUCCAGCCACUUGGAUAUUUUUUUAAUCCAUAUAAAACUGUCAAAAGCCAGGUGGUGGUGGCACAUGUCUUUAAUCCCAUCACUCAGGAGGCAGAGGCAGGCAGAUCUCUGUGAGUUUGAGGCCAGCCUGGUCUACAGAGCAAGUGCCAGGAUAGGCUCCAAAGCUACAGAGAAACCCUGUCUAGAAAAAAAAAAACUGUCAAUCAGCCCAAUUUAUUUCUCUUUCAUUUCCUCUGCCCCCAUUUUAUUUUUAUCAAGUUCCAAAUUCCAAAUUCCACUUAUACUUGUUGGUAUAAGUGCUACUUCAUAAUCUCCUUUACAAUUUCCCUUACCUUUUACCUUUCUGUGCUGUGGUCUGGAGUUAAUUGUUUUUUUAUUAUUCCCUGCUGACUUGAGUCUUCUCAAAACCACCACCUCAUAAGUCUUAAUGUUUUAUUUAUUACAAGUUACCUGUCAUGACAACCCCAAUAUUUGGAACCCCUAAGUAGUCUCAUUUUUUCCUUUGGCUUUCAUGCUCAGGAGACAUGAUAUACUGCAUGUUUCAACCAAAUAGAUUAAUCCUGUUUGUAUUGUUUUUACAAAAUUGCAUGGAGAAAUAAAUCCAGGUCCUCGUGGAUGUUUGCUGUUUGGCUUCUAGGGUACCCUGAGACUCUGGGACCCUGAGGUUUAAUGUUAAUCAGUCACUUGAAGUGUCAUUUCCACAAAGGAUUUCUCUUCACUUCUAGCCCUAAAGGGCCUCAACUCAAAUCUCAAGCUGCUCAUAGCAUCUUUCUUCAUAUCAGAUCCUGGAUGACAGUCUGUCCUGCCCAGUGCCAAGUUUGUCAAGAGCAGCACCAAGGAUCUUCCUGUUCCAUUAUCUUCUUUAUGAGUUCUCAUUUAUCCUGUGGAGAAAAAAAAAAUAAUGGCUGAGCCAAUGGGUUAAUAAAAUGCCUUAGGCAGUCAACUUAAAAGCAGCAUUUAUUUGCAUUCUCAUCUCAGAGGCUUCAUUCCACAUUGCUUAGUCCUGUUUUAG
ensembl:lncRNA